rnacentral:rRNA from 1 species
UACAGAGGGUGCGAGCGUUGUCCGGAAUCACUGGGCGUAAAGGGCGCGUAGGCGGCCUGAUAAGUAGGGGGUGAAAUCUUGCGGCUCAACCGCAAGGCUGCCUUCUAAACUGUCAGGCUGGAGCACGGUAGAGGCAGAUGGAAUUCCCGGUGUAGCGGUGGAAUGCGUAGAGAUCGGGAAGAACACCAGUGGCGAAGGCGGUCUGCUGGGCCGUUGCUGACGCUGAGGCGCGACAGCGUGGGGAGCAACAGG